CGCCACCCACCCCCACCUACCUCGCACAGGACGAUUCCAAAGGAAAACACAUCCACCUUCUCAUCGUAGCUGCGGCCUGGAUGGAGAGAUAGGCUGUCAGCAGGUCUGAGCAGACCUCUGCGGGGUGAGGAUGAGAGCCCUGCCUGGGGGGGGUUCCAGGCCCAGCUCGGCCACCCACCAGCUGUGUGACUCUGGACAAGUCAUGGACCACACGGUGACCCCCAAAACUACCCAUGUCAAACCCCUGGAACCUGUGACCAUUACUUCACUGGAAAAAAGGUCUUUGCAAAUAUGGUCAUUAAAAGGAUCUUGAGAUGAGAUAAUCCUGGAUCAUCCGGGGGCGGCCUCUAGGUACCGUUGCAAACAUCCUAAGAGAGACUGAGGAGGACGACACACAGGGAGAGGCGGCCGUGGCCACGAGCCCGGGAAUGCCAGGGCAGCCACCAGAAGCCAGAAGCCGCAAGGAGUGGGUGCUCCCCGGAAAUCCCUGGAGGGAGCGGGGCUCUCCUGGAUUGCAGACUUCUGGCUUCCAGAACUGCAAGGGAAUAAAUGUCUCUUGUUUUAAACCA